rnacentral:rRNA from 1 species
GACGACCGCUGGCGGCGUGCCUAAUACAUGCAAGUCGAACGCAGUGGGGACGGGUGAGUAACACGUGGGUAACCUCCCAUCAGAGGGGAUAACACUUGGAAACAGGUGCUAAAACGAUACUGCUGGCUGGACCCGCGGUGCAUUAGCUAGUUGGUUAGGUAACGGCUCACCAAGGCCACGAUGCAUAGCCGAGCUGAGAGUGUGAUCGGCCACAAUGGGACUGAGACACGGCCCAGACUCCUACGGUAGGCAGAAGGAGGGAAUCUUCGGCAAUGGACGAAAGUCUGACCGAGCAACGCCGCGUGAGGGAAGAAGGUUUUCGGAUCGGAAAACUCUGUUGUUAGAGAAGCGGUAUCUAACCAGAAAGCCACGGCUAACUACGUGCCAGCAGCCGCGGUAAUAC